GACGAACGCUGGCGGCGUGCUUAACACAUGCAAGUCGAACGGUGAAGCGCCUUCCUUUUUGGUGGGUGUGGAUGAGUGGCGAACGGGUGAGUAACACGUGAGUAACCUGCCCCCUUCUUCUGGAUAACCGCAUGAAAGUGUGGCUAAUACGGGAUAUUCUGGGUCUGUCGCAUGAUGGGUCUGGGAAAGAUAUUGUUUCGGUGGGGGAUGGGCUCGCGGCCUAUCAGCUUGUUGGUGGGGUGAUGGCCUACCACGGCGGUGACGGGUAGCCGGCCUGAGAGGGUGGACGGUCCCACUGGGACUGCGACACGGCCCAGACUCCUACGGGAGGCAGCAGUGGGGAAUAUUGCACAAUGGGCGCAAGCCUGAUGCAGCGACGCCGCGUGAGGGAUGGAGGCCUUCGGGUUGUGAACCUCUUUCGCCAGUGAAGCAGGCCUGCCUCGUUUGUGGGUGGGUUGACGGUAGCUGGAUAAGAAGCGCCGGCUAACUACGUG
rnacentral:rRNA from 1 species